rnacentral:rRNA from 1 species
AGCGAACGCUGGCGGCAGGCUUAACACAUGCAAGUCGAGCGGGCCCUUCGGGGUCAGCGGCCGACGGGUGAGUAACGCGUGGGAACGUGCCCUUCGGUUCGGAAUAACUCAGGGAAACUUGAGCUAAUACCGGAUACGCCCUUAUGGGGAAUGGUUUACUGCCGAAGGAUCGGCCCGCGUCUGAUUAGCUAGUUGGUGAGGUUAUGGCUCACCAAGGCGACGAUCAGUAGCUGGUCUGAGAGGAUGAUCAGCCACACUGGGACUGAGACACGGCCCAGACUCCUACGGGAGGCAGCAGUGGGGAAUAUUGGACAAUGGGGGCAACCCUGAUCCAGCCAUGCCGCGUGAGUGAUGACGGCCUUAGGGUUGUAAAGCUCUUUUCUCCGGGACGAUAAUGACGGUACCGGAGGAAUAAGCCCCGGCUAACUUCGUG